UGGGGAAUUUUGGACAAUGGGGGAAACCCUGAUCCAGCCAUCCCGCGUGUGCGAUGAAGGCCUUCGGGUUGUAAAGCACUUUUGGCAGGAAAGAAACGUCGCGGGUUAAUACCCCGCGAAACUGACGGUACCUGCAGAAUAAGCACCGGCUAACUACGUGCCAGCAGCCGCGGUAAUACGUAGGGUGCAAGCGUUAAUCGGAAUUACUGGGCGUAAAGCGUGCGCAGGCGGUUCGGAAAGAAAGAUGUGAAAUCCCAGAGCUUGAACUUUGGAACUGCAUUUUUAACUACCGGGCUAGAGUGUGUCAGAGGGAGGUGGAAUUCCGCGUGUAGCAGUGAAAUGCGUAGAUAUGCGGAGGAACACCGAUGGCGAAGGCAGCCUCCUGGGAUAACACUGACGCUCAUGCACGAAAGCGUGGGGGAGCAAACAGGAUUAGAUACCCUGGUAGUCCACGCCCUAAAACGAUGUCAACUAGCUGUUGGGGCCUUCGGGCCUUGGUAGCGCAGCUAACGCGUGAAGUUGACCGCCUGGGGGAGUACGGCCGCAAGAUUAAAAACUUAAAUGAAUUGACGGGGGUCAAGCUGUUUCCCU
rnacentral:rRNA from 1 species